GGUAGCGAAGUAGCUGAUUUCACACUGUCGAGAAAAGUCUCUAUCGAGGUUAAAGGUGCCUGUACCGCAAACCGACACAGGUGGGUGAGGAGAGUAUCCUAAGGCCAGCGAGAGAACUGUUGUUAAGGAACUCGGCAAAAUGACCCCGUAACUUCGGGAGAAGGGGUGCCUUCGAAAGAAGGCCGCAGAGAAUAGGCCCAAGCGACUGUUUACCAAAAACAUAGGUUUCUGCUAAGUCGCAAGACGAUGUAUAGGAGCUGACGCCUGCCCGGUGCUGGAAGGUUAAGGGGAUCUGUUAGAGCAAUCGAAGCAGUGAACUUAAGCCCCAGUAAACGGCGGCCGUAACGAUAACGGUCCUAAGGUAGCGAAAUUCCUUGUCGGGUAAGUUCCGACCCGCACGAAAGGCGUAACGAUUUGGGCACUGUCUCAACAACAGACUCGGUGAAAUUGUAAUACCGGUGAAGAUGCCGGUUACCUGCGACAGGAGGGAAAGACCCCAUGGAGCUUUACUGUAGCUUGACAUUGAGUCUCGGUGCUACAUGUACAGGAUAGGUGGGAGACUAUGAAGCAUGGACGUCAGUCUGUGUGGAGUCAUCCUUGGGAUACCACCCUUGUAGUACUGGGAUUCUAACCAGAGGCCAUGAAUCUGGUCUUGGGACACUGUCAGGUGGACAGUUUGACUGGGGCGGUCGCCUCCCAAAAAGUAACGGAGGCGCUCAAAGGUUCUCUCAGUACGGUCGGAAAUCGUACGAAGAGUGUAAAGGCAAAAGAGAGCUUGAUUGCAAGACAUACAGGUCGAGCAAGGACGAAAGUCGGACUUAGUGAUCCGGUGGUUCCGCAUGGAAGGGCCAUCGCUCAACGGAUAAAAGCUACCCUGGGGAUAACAGGCUGAUCUCCCCCAAGAGUCCACAUCGACGGGGAGGUUUGGCACCUCGAUGUCGGCUCAUCACAUCCUGGGGCUGUAGUAGGUCCCAAGGGUUGGGCUGUUCGCCCAUUAAAGUGGUACGCGAGCUGGGUUCAGAACGUCGUGAGACAGUUCGGUCCCUAUCCGUCGCAGGCGUAGGAAAUUUGAGGAGACCUGUCCUUAGUACGAGAGGACCGGGAUGGACGUACCGCUGGUGUACCAGUUGUUCUGCCAAGGGCAUGGCUGGGUAGCUAAGUACGGAAAGGAUAAGCGCUGAAAGCAUCUAAGCGCGAAGCCCACUUCAAGAUAAGAUUUCCCACCGCAAGGUUAAGAUCCCAGGAAGACUACCUGGUUGAUAGGUCAGAGGUGUAAGUGCAGUAAUGUAUUUAGCUUACUGAUACUAAUAGAUCGAGGACUUGACC
rnacentral:rRNA from 1 species